GCCUAACACAUGCAAGUCGAGCGGUAGCACAGAGAGCUUGCUCUCGGGUGACGAGCGGCGGACGGGUGAGUAAUGUCUGGGAAACUGCCUGAUGGAGGGGGAUAACUACUGGAAACGGUAGCUAAUACCGCAUAACGUCGCAAGACCAAAGUGGGGGACCUUCGGGCCUCAUGCCAUCAGAUGUGCCCAGAUGGGAUUAGCUGGUAGGUGGGGUAACGGCUCACCUAGGCGACGAUCCCUAGCUGGUCUGAGAGGAUGACCAGCCACACUGGAACUGAGACACGGUCCAGACUCCUACGGGAGGCAGCAGUGGGGAAUAUUGCACAAUGGGCGCAAGCCUGAUGCAGCCAUGCCGCGUGUGUGAAGAAGGCCUUCGGGUUGUAAAGCACUUUCAGCGGGGAGGAAGGCGGUGAGGUUAAUAACCUCAUCGAUUGACGUUACCCGCAGAAGAAGCACCGGCUAACUCCGUGCCAGCAGCCGCGGUAAUACGGAGGGUGCAAGCGUUAAUCGGAAUUACUGGGCGUAAAGCGCACGCAGGCGGUCUGUCAAGUCGGAUGUGAAAUCCCCGGGCUCAACCUGGGAACUGCAUUCGAAACUGGCAGGCUAGAGUCUUGUAGAGGGGGGUAGAAUUCCAGGUGUAGCGGUGAAAUGCGUAGAGAUCUGGAGGAAUACCGGUGGCGAAGGCGGCCCCCUGGACAAAGACUGACGCUCAGGUGCGAAAGCGUGGGGAGCAAACAGGAUUAGAUACCCUGGUAGUCCACGCUGUAAACGAUGUCGAUUUGGAGGUUGUGCCCUUGAGGCGUGGCUUCCGGAGCUAACGCGUUAAAUCGACCGCCUGGGGAGUACGGCCGCAAGGUUAAAACUCAAAUGAAUUGACGGGGGCCCGCACAAGCGGUGGAGCAUGUGGUUUAAUUCGAUGCAACGCGAAGAACCUUACCUGGUCUUGACAUCCACAGAACUUUCCAGAGAUGGAUUGGUGCCUUCGGGAACUGUGAGACAGGUGCUGCAUGGCUGUCGUCAGCUCGUGUUGUGAAAUGUUGGGUUAAGUCCCGCAACGAGCGCAACCCUUAUCCUUUGUUGCCAGCGGUUAGGCCGGGAACUCAAAGGAGACUGCCAGUGAUAAACUGGAGGAAGGUGGGGAUGACGUCAAGUCAUCAUGGCCCUUACGACCAGGGCUACACACGUGCUACAAUGGCAUAUACAAAGAGAAGCGACCUCGCGAGAGCAAGCGGACCUCAUAAAGUAUGUCGUAGUCCGGAUUGGAGUCUGCAACUCGACUCCAUGAAGUCGGAAUCGCUAGUAAUCGUAGAUCAGAAUGCUACGGUGAAUACGUUCCCGGGCCUUGUACACACCGCCCGUCACACCAUGGGAGUGGGUUGCAAAAGAAGUAGGUAGCUUAACCUUCGGGAGGGCGCUUACCAC
rnacentral:rRNA from 1 species